rnacentral:rRNA from 1 species
UACGAAGGGGGGCUAGCGUUGCUCGGAAUCACUGGGCGUAAAGGGUGCGUAGGCGGAUCUUUAAGUCAGGGGUGAAAUCCCAAGGCUCAACCUUGGAACUGCCUUUGAUACUGGGGAUCUCGAGUCCGGAAGAGGUUGGUGGAACUGCGAGUGUAGAGGUGAAAUUCGUAGAUAUUCGCAAGAACACCAGUGGCGAAGGCGGCCAACUGGUCCGGUACUGACGCUGAGGUGCGAAAGCGUGGGGAGCAAACAGG